rnacentral:rRNA from 1 species
AACGAACGCUGGCGGCAUGCCUAACACAUGCAAGUCGAACGAGAUCUUCGGGUCUAGUGGCGCACGGGUGCGUAACUCGCGGGCAUCUGCCCUUUGGUUCGGCUUACCAGUUGGAAACGACUGCUAAUACCGGAUGAUGACGAAAGUCCAAAGAUUUAUCGCCAGAGGAUGAGCCCGCGUAGGAUUAGCUAGUUGGUGUGGGAAAGGCGCACCAAGGCGACGAUCCUUAGCUGGUCUGAGAGGAUGAUCGGCCACACUGGGACUGAGACACGGCCCAGACUCGUACGGGAGGCAGCAGUGGGGAAUAUUGGACAAUGGGCGAAAGCCUGAUCCAGCAAUGCCGCGUGAGUGAUGAAGGCCUUAGGGUUGUAAAGCUCUGUUACCCGGGAUGAUAAUGACAGUACCGGGAGAAUAAGCUCCGGCUAACUCCGUGCCAGCCGCCGCCGUAA